rnacentral:rRNA from 1 species
GUAGGUGGCAAGCGUUGUCCGGAAUUAUUGGGCGUAAAGCGCGCGCAGGCGGUUCUUUAAGUCUGACGUGAAAGCCCACGGCUCAACCGUGGAGGGUCAUUGGAGACUGGAGAACUUGAGUACAGAAGAGGAAAGCGGAAUUCCACGUGUAGCGGUGAAAUGCGUAGAGAUGUGGAGGAACACCAGUGGCGAAGGCGGCUUUCUGGUCUGUAACUGACGCUGAGGCGCGAAAGCGUGGGGAGCAAACAGGGAUUAGAUACCCUGGUAGUCCACGCCGUAAACGAUGAGUGCUAAGUGUUAGGGGGGUUUCCGCCCCCUUAGUGCUGCAGCUAACGCAUUAAGCACUCCGCCUGGGGAGUACGGCCGCAAGGCUG